CAACUACUCCCUCUGUCCCAAAUUUCUUGUCUUAGAUUUGUCUAGAUACGGAUGUAUGAUACAUCCUUAUCUAGACAAAUCUAAGACAAGAAUUUUGGGACGGAGGGAGUACUUU
rfam:Triticum aestivum genome assembly, contig: Triticum_aestivum_CS42_TGACv1_scaffold_408754_5BL